rnacentral:lncRNA from 13 species
CUAUUGCCUUAGCACUGAGCAAUGAGUGUAUGAAAUCAACGAGUGAAGUGAGAAGUGACGAGCCAACAGUAUGAUUGAUCUGAAGGAAAAGACUCUUCUGAAUGAAACCAACACCAUGCUUGAGAGCAUCAGAGAGGUUGAACUUGAAUCUGAGGAAGUAUAAAUGGGAACACUCACACACGUUCAGUCAUAAUGUCAACAUUUUCAGGAAGGUCUUCAAUACAAAAAAGACUGUCUGAAUGCUGCUUUGUUUCAGAGGCAGCUCAUGUCCGUAAGGAAAGCUCCUGCAAAACCUCAAGCAGACACUGUCAAGCUAAAGAAAUGGCUACAUAAACUGAUACCUGAAUUCAACAGUUCCUGAAUUCUCCUCUCCAUCUCACUUGCUUUAACG